UGUAACCUCACUGGCAGAAGAACGCUUCCGGAACUUUGCAAGGCAUGUUGAUAUCGCAGCAGUACACAACAACGUCAGAACCUUGCGUCGGGCUUUACCAUGCGUUUUAGUAAAGUGUCGAAAAUAUACGUUGGAUGGGCUAUGAUCAUAGCAGUUGGGAUUGCAGGCUUUACUGUGGCAAGACAGUCGGUAAUCUCCAAUCGAGGAGAAAUUAUGAAAAGGAAACAGAGCAUUCGAGACUUUGUCAUUGCUGAACGUGAAGCUGAGGAUAACUAAUGUGGACCUCAUGGCUGUGACUUCCGUGACCUGUGACGUCAUGCAUGUGCAUCUUCUCUGAAGACAAGGCACUUGUUAAAAUGUUGAGACUUCAUAGUUUCAACAAUGAAAUUGGAGGACACCAAGAUGACAAAGUUUUCCCAUCUGUGGUAGUCAUGGAAACUUUGUUUUCUACAGUCUUUCUACAUUCAUGUUUAUAUACAAGAUGGUAGUGAGUUUUGUUUGUGUGCAAGUGUGACUAUUGUCAUAGAAUAAAUCCUUUCAUCAGCCA